rnacentral:rRNA from 1 species
ACUAAAUAGAUACCCGGGUAGUCCACGCCGUAAACGAUGGAUACUAGCUGUUCGGAGCAAUCUGAGUGGCUAAAGCGAAAAAAGUGAUAAGUAUCCCACCUGGGGAGUACGCACGCAAGUGUGAAACUCAAAGGAAUUGACGGGGGCCCGGCACAAGCGGUGGAGCAUGUGGUUUAAUUCGAUGAUACGCGAGGAACCUUACCAGGGCUUAAAUGUAGAUUGACAGGACUGGAAACAGUUUUUUCUUCGGACAAUUUACAAGGUGCUGCAUGGUUGUCGUCAGCUCGUGCCGUGAGGUGUCAGGUUAAGUCCUAUAACGAGCGCAACCCUGUCGUUAGUUGCCAGCGAGUCAUGUCGGGAACUCUAACGAGACUGCCAGUGUAAACUGUGAGGAAGGUGGGGAUGACGUCAAAUCAUCACGGCCCUUACGUCCUGGGCCACACACGUGCUACAAUGGUAGGUACAGAGAGCAGCCACUGCGCGAGCAGGAGCGAAUCUACAAAACCUAUCUCAGUUCGGAUCGGAGUCU